UACGUAGGGUGCAAGCGUUGUCCGGAAUUAUUGGGCGUAAAGAGCUCGUAGGCGGUCUGUCGCGUCUGCUGUGAAAACUCAGGGCUUAACCCUGAGCUUGCAGUGGGUACGGGCAGACUAGAGUGCGGUAGGGGAGACUGGAAUUCCUGGUGUAGCGGUGAAAUGCGCAGAUAUCGAGGAGGAACACCGGUGGCCGAAGGCGGGUCUCUGGGCCGUAACUGACGC
rnacentral:rRNA from 1 species